rnacentral:rRNA from 1 species
AGCAGUAGCCGCGGUAAUACGUAGGUGGCAAGCGUUGUCCGGAAUUAUUGGGCGUAAAGGGCUCGCAGGCGGUUUCUUAAGUCUGAUGUGAAAGCCCCCGGCUCAACCGGGGAGGGUCAUUGGAAACUGGGAAACUUGAGUGCAGAAGAGGAGAGUGGAAUUCCACGUGUAGCGGUGAAAUGCGUAGAGAUGUGGAGGAACACCAGUGGCGAAGGCGACUCUCUGGUCUGUAACUGACGCUGAGGAGCGAAAGCGUGGGGAGCGAACAGGAAUAGAUACCCCGGUAGUCCCUGUCUCUUAUAC